rnacentral:rRNA from 1 species
GCCACCGCUAUUGGAAUUCGAUUAAGACAUGCGAGUCGAGAGUCUUAGGGACUCGGCGGACGGCUCAGUAACACGCGGAUAAUCUGCCCUUAGGUGGAGGAUAACCUCGGGAAACUGAGAAUAAUACUCCAUAUGUCUAGAAUGCUGGAAUGCUUUUAGGCUUAAAGCUCCGGCGCCUAAGGAUGAAUCUGCGGCCUAUCAGGUUGUAGUGGGUGUAACGGACCCACUAGCCUACGACGGGUACGGGCUUUGGGAGAAGUUGCCCGGAGAUGGACUCUGAGACACGAGUCCAGGCCCUACGGGGUGCAGCAGUUGCGAAAACUUCACUAUGUCGGAAACGGCGAUGAGGGAAUUCCAAGUGCCAACACUUUGUGUUGGCUGUUUGUUCGCCUAAAAAGCAGAUAAAGUAAGAGCCGGGUAAGACGGGUGCCAGCCGCCGCGGUAAUACCCGCGGCUCGAGUGGUGGUCAUUUUUAUUGAGCUUAAAGCGUUCGUAGCCUGUCCAGUAAAUCCUUGGGUAAAUCGGGCAGCUUAACUGUUCGAAUUCCAAGGAGACUGCUGGACUUGGGACCGGAAGAGGUCAAAAGUACUCUUGGGGUAGGGGUAAAAUCCUGUAAUCCCACGAGGACUACCAGUGGCGAAGGCGUUUGACUAGGACGGAUUCGACGGCAAGGAACGAAACCCCGGGUCGCAAACGGGAUUAGAUACCCCGGUAGUCCGGGGCGUAAACGCUGCAGGCUUGGUGUUGGGGGCUCUACGAGAGCGCCCAGUGCCGAAGAGAAAUUGUUAAGCCUGCCGCUUGGGGAGUACGGUCGCAAGACUGAAACUUAAAGGAAUUGGCGGGAGAGCACAGCAACGGGAGGAGCGUGCGGUUCAAUUGGAUUCAACGCCGGA